CUGGUUCGAAUCCAGUAGGGUGUACCAAGCUCACUAAGUUCAUAUGGGUGAACGCCUGCCUUGUAAGCAGGAUGAA
rnacentral:tRNA from 1 species